rnacentral:rRNA from 1 species
UGUCCUACGGGAGGCAGCAGUGGGGAAUCUUCCGCAAUGGGCGAAAGCCUGACGGAGCAACGCCGCGUGAUCGAAUGAAGGCCUUCGGGUUGUAAAGAUCUGUUGACAGGGACGAAUAAGCAAUGCGAAUAGUUUUGUGUACGACGGUACCUGUUUAGAAAGCUCCGGCUAACUACGUGCCAGCAGCCGCGGUAAUACGUAGGUGGCAAGCGUUAUCCGGAUUUAUUGGGCGUAAAGAGAACGCAGGCGGUCUUUUAA